AUUGAACGCUGGCGGCAUGCCUAACACAUGCAAGUCGAACGGCAGAAGGGGGCUUUCCCCCGGAUUGCGAGGGGGGCGGGGGAGUGAAGCACAUGAAUCUACCUGGUAGUGGGGGGGAAAGUCCGGAGAAGGGCGGAUAUAUAGCACACGCGAUGAGGGAGUGAGAGGGGGAUCUUCUGAGGUCACGCGAUCAGGGGUGCCGAGAUCGGAUUAGCUAGUGGGUGGGGUAAAGGCCUACCAAGGCGCCGAUCCGUAACUGGGCUGAGAGGAGGAGCAGCCACACUGGGACUGAGACACGGCCCAGACUCCUACGGGAGGCAGCAGUGGGGAAUUUUGGACAAUGGGCGAAAGCCUGAUCCAGCAAUGCCGCGUGUGUGAAGAAGGUCUUCGGGUUGUAAAGCACUUUUGUCCGGAAGGAAGGGCUUGACCCUAAUACGUUCGGGGUAUGACGGUACCGGAAGAAUAAGCACCGGCUAACUACGUG
rnacentral:rRNA from 1 species